rnacentral:rRNA from 1 species
AGAGUUUGAUCCUGGCUCAGGACGAACGCUGGCGGCGUGCCUAGUACGUGCAAGUCGAGCGAACUUGCGGGAGCUUGCUCCCAAAAGUUAGCGGCGGACGGGUGAGUAACACGUGGGCAACCUGCCUGUAAGACUGGGAUAACUUCGGGAAACCGGAGCUAAUACCGGAUAAUUCUUAUCAACACAUGUUGGUAAGCUAAAAGACGGCGUAAGCUGUCACUUACAGAUGGGCCCGCGGCGCAUUAGCUAGUUGGUGAGGUAACGGCUCACCAAGGCAACGAUGCGUAGCCGACCUGAGAGGGUGAUCGGCCACACUGGGACUGAGACACGGCCCAGACUCCUACGGGAGGCAGCAGUAGGGAAUCUUCCGCAAUGGACGAAAGUCUGACGGAGCAACGCUGCGUGAGUGAUGAAGGCUUUCGGAUCGUAAAACUCUGUUGUUAGGGAAGAAAGUGUACCGGUGAACAUCCGGUGCAUUGAUAGUAGUGACAGAGGAAGGGACGGCUAACUCUGUGCCAGCAGCCGCGGUAAUACAGAGGUCCCGAGCGUUGUUCGGAUUCACUGGGCGUAAAGGGUGCGUAGGCGGCUUAGCAAGUCUGAUGUGAAAUCUCCGGGCCCAACCCGGAAAUGGCAUUAGAAACUGCUGAGCUGGAGGCUUGGAGGGGGAACUGGAAUACUUGGUGUAGCAGUGAAAUGCGUAGAUAUCAAGUGGAACACCGGUGGCGAAGGCGAGUUCCUGGACAAGACCUGACGCUGAGGCACGAAAGCCGGGGGAGCAAACAGGAUUAGAUACCCUGGUAGUCCCGGCUG